GCGAGAGUGCCGGAGUCUGGAAAAAGAUACUAAUGAAAAUGUAGUAUUUUUCAAGACGGGCAGGACUUAAGAUCCUGUGGCUUAGUGCCUACGCAGGUUCAAAUCCUGUCUCUCGCA
rnacentral:tRNA from 1 species